rnacentral:rRNA from 1 species
UGCCAGCCGCCGCGGUAAUACGAAAGGUGCAAGCGUUGUUCGGAUUGACUGGGCGUAAAGCGCAUGUAGGCGGGCUAAUAAGUCAGUUGUGAAAGCCCCGGGCUCAACCUGGGAAUUGCAAUUGAAACUGUUAGUCUUGAAUAUCUGAGGGGUUUAUGGAAUUCCAGGUGUAGCAGUGAAAUGCGUAGAUAUCUGGAGGAACACCAGAGGCGAAGGCGAUAAACUGGCAGAAUAUUGACGCUGAGAUGCGAAAGCGUGGGGAGCAAACAGGAUUAGAUA